AGCAGUAGCACUGUACGCGUGCUUAUUAUCAGACACAAGAUGUGCAGAUGUACUGAGCUUGUUGUAUGAACAAAAUUAUACAACAAUUCUGCUGGUCAACAUUGUGUUUCUUCCUUUCUGUGUCCUCUUGGCUUAUCCCAAUCAAGUGCCCAAACAGUUGCUUUACUCAGUACAGGAGAAAGAAAAUGUGAAGGAAAAAAAAUGGCUCAA
rnacentral:sRNA from 1 species